rnacentral:rRNA from 1 species
CGUUCCCGGUCCUUGUACACACCGCCCGUCACACCACGAAAGUUGGCAACACCCGAAGCCGGUGGCCGAACCCGCAAGGGACGGAGCCGUCGAAGGUGGGGUCAGUGAUUGGGGUG